rnacentral:tRNA from 5 species
UGGGACGUCGUCUAACGGUAGGACAACGGAUUCUGGUUCCGUCAGUGGGAGUUCGAUUCUCUCCGUCCCAGCCA